rnacentral:rRNA from 1 species
GAUGAAUGCUGGCGGCGUGCCUAACACACGCAAGUCGAGCGGCAGCGCGAGUAGUUUACUACUUGGCGGCGAGCGGCGGACGGCUGAGUAACGCGUGGGAACGUACCCCAAAGUGAGGAAUAACUGCCCGAAAGGGUGGCUAAUGCCGCAUAUGGUCUUCGGAUUAAGGGAUUUAUCCGCUUUGGGAACGGCCUGCGUACGAUUAGAUAGUUGGUGGGGUAAAGGCCUACCAAGUCGACGAUCGUUAACUGGUCUGAGAGGAUGAUCAGUCAGACUGGAACUGAGACACGGUCCAGACUCCUACGGGAGGCAGCAGUGGGGAAUUUUGGACAAUGGGCGCAAGCCUGAUCCAGCAAUGCCGCGUGCAGGAUGAAGGCCUUCGGGUUGUAAACUGCUUUUGUACGGAACGAAAAGCCCUGGGUUAAUACCCUGGGGUCAUGACGGUACCGUAAGAAUAAGCACCGGC